GAUGAAGAACGUAGCGAAAUGCGAUACUUGGUGUGAAUUGCAGAAUCCCGUGAACCAUCGAGUCUUUGAACGCAAGUUGCGCCCGAAGCCACUAGGCCGAGGGCACGCCUGCCUGGGCGUCACACGUCGUUGCCCCCCCAUCUACUCCUUCGGGAUUGCGGGGGGGCGGAUGAUGGCCUCCCGUGCGCCUAGCCGCGCGGUUGGCAUAAAUACCAAGUCCUCGGCGACGCACGCCACGACAAUCGGUGGUUGCGAAACCUCGGUUGCCCGUCGUGUGCGUUCGUCGUGCAUCGAGGGCUCGAAAAAAUGCUCGGCUCCGGCUGGGCUUUCAACGCGACCCCAGGUCAGGCGGGGUUACCCGCUGAAUUUAAGCAUAUCAAUAAGCGGAGGA
rnacentral:misc_RNA from 1 species